CUUUAUAGCUGUACUACCCUGAAUGUGCCUGAUUUCGUCUGAUCUUGGAAGCAGGAUUAGGCCUGCUUAGUGGUUGGGAGACCAGGAAUACCAGGUGCUGUAGGCU
rnacentral:rRNA from 1 species